GACGAACGCUGGCGGCGCGCCUAACACAUGCAAGUCGAACGAGCGAGAGAGAGCUUGCUUUCUCGAGCGAGUGGCGAACGGGUGAGUAACGCGUGAGGAACCUGCCUCAAAGAGGGGGACAACAGUUGGAAACGACUGCUAAUACCGCAUAAGCCCACGGGUCGGCAUCGACCAGAGGGAAAAGGAGCAAUCCGCUUUGAGAUGGCCUCGCGUCCGAUUAGCUAGUUGGUGAGGUAAUGGCCCACCAAGGCAACGAUCGGUAGCCGGACUGAGAGGUUGAACGGCCACAUUGGGACUGAGACACGGCCCAGACUCCUACGGGAGGCAGCAGUGGGGAAUAUUGCACAAUGGGGGAAACCCUGAUGCAGCGACGCCGCGUGGAGGAAGAAGGUCUUCGGAUUGUAAACUCCUGUUGUUGAGGAAGAUAAUGACGGUACUCAACAAGGAAGUGACGGCUAACUACGUGCCAGCAGCCGCGGUAAAACGUAGGUCACAAGCGUUGUCCGGAAUUACUGGGUGUAAAGGGAGCGCAGGCGGGAAGACAAGUUGGAAGUGAAAUCCAUGGGCUCAACCCAUGAACUGCUUUCAAAACUGUUUUUCUUGGGUAGUGCAGAGGUAGGCGGAAUUCCCGGUGUAGCGGUGGAAUGCGUAGAUAUCGGGAGGAACACCAGUGGCGAAGGCGGCCUACUGGGCACCAACUGACGCUGAGGCUCGAAAGUGGGGGUAGCAAACAGGAUUAGAUACCCUGGUAGUCCACACCGUAAACGAUGAUUACUAGGUGUUGGAGGAUUGACCCCUUCAGUGCCGCAGUUAACACAAUAAGUAAUCCACCUGGGGAGUACGACCGCAAGGUUGAAACUCAAAGGAAUUAACGGGGGCCCGCACAAGCAGUGGAGUAUGUGGUUUAAUUCGACGCAACGCGAAGAACCUUACCAAGUCUUGACAUCCCUUGACGAUGCUGGAAACAGUAUUUCUCUUCGGAGCAAGGAGACAGGUGGUGCAUGGUUGUCGUCAGCUCGUGUCGUGAGAUGUUGGGUUAAGUCCCGCAACGAGCGCAACCCUUAUGGUCAGUUACUACGCAAGAGGACUCUGGCCAGACUGCCGUUGACAAAACGGAGGAAGGUGGGGAUGACGUCAAAUCAUCAUGCCCUUUAUGACUUGGGCUACACACGUACUACAAUGGCGUUAAACAAAGAGAAGCAAGACCGCGAGGUGGAGCAAAACUCAGAAACAACGUCCCAGUUCGGACUGCAGGCUGCAACUCGCCUGCACGAAGUCGGAAUUGCUAGUAAUCGUGGAUCAGCAUGCCACGGUGAAUACGUUCCCGGGCCUUGUACUCAAAGCCCGUC
rnacentral:rRNA from 1 species